UACGGGGGGGAGCAAGCGUUGUUCGGAUUUACUGGGCGUAAAGGGCGCGUAGGCGGCCUAGCAAGUCACUUGUGAAAUCUCCGGGCUUAACUCGGAACUGCCAAGUGAAACUGCUGGGCUAGAGUGCAGAAGGGGCAAUCGGAAUUCUUGGUGUAGCGGUGAAAUGCGUAGAUAUCAAGAGGAACACCUGAGGUGAAGACGGGUUGCUGGGCUGACACUGACGCUGAGGCGCGAAAGCCAGGGGAGCAAACGGG
rnacentral:rRNA from 1 species